ACGCUGGCGGCACGCCUAACACAUGCAAGUCGAACGAAGUAGCAAUACUUAGUGGCAGACGGGUGAGUAACAUGUGGGUAUCUACCCUUUGGCCUGGAAUAACACGAGGAAACUUGUGCUAAUACUGGAUAAGUCUUUACGGAGAAAGCUUUAUGCACCAUUGGAUGAGCCUGCACUUGAUUAGUUUGUUGGUGGGGUAAUGGCCUACCAAGACUGUGAUCAAUAGCUGAUUUGAGAGGAUGAUCAGCCACAUUGGGACUGAGACACGGCCCAAACUCCUACGGGAGGCAGCAGUGGGGAAUCUUGCACAAUGGAGGAAACUCUGAUGCAGCGAUGCCGCGUGAGUGAAGAAGGCCCUUGGGUUGUAAAGCUCUUUCGUCGGGGAAGAAAAUGACUGUACCCGAAUAAGAAGGUCCGGCUAACUUCGUGCCAGCAGCCGCGGUAAUACGAAGGGACCUAGCGUAGUUCGGAAUUACUGGGCUUAAAGAGUUCGUAGGUGGUUGAAAAAGUUGGUGGUGAAAUCCCAGAGCUUAACUCUGGAACUGCCAUCAAAACUUUUCAGCUAGAGUAUGAUAGAGGAAAGCAGAAUUUCUAGUGUAGAGGUGAAAUUCGUAGAUAUUAGAAAGAAUACCAAUUGCGAAGGCAGCUUUCUGGAUCAUUACUGACACUGAGGAACGAAAGCAUGGGUAGCGAAGAGGAUUAGAUACCCUCGUAGUCCAUGCCGUAAACGAUGUGUGUUAGACGUUGGAAAUUUAUUUUCAGUGUCGCAGCGAAAGCGAUAAACACACCGCCUGGGGAGUACG
rnacentral:rRNA from 1 species